rnacentral:tRNA from 2 species
AAGGUUUUAAGUUAAGUAAACUAUGAGCCUUCAAAGCUCAACAUAAAAAUAAAUUUUUAAACCUUG